rnacentral:lncRNA from 1 species
UAACCUUCAGUGAUCUGUAUUCAGUGAUCAAUUUCGAGAUGAAUCAAGUUCGGGCAGAGAGUUGAGUUUGAAGUUUUUUGAAGUUUGAAAGGUUAGAAGGUUUAAAUUCGAUUGUAUGUCAUUAGUUACUUGCUUAAUUCAAGAUUAAUUCUCUUUCUCGGCUAUACUAACCUUCAACGAUGUGUAUUCAGUGAUCAAUUUCGAGAUGAAUCAAGUUCGGGCAGAGAGUUGAGUUUGAAGUUUUUUGAAGUUUGAAAGGUUAGAAGGUUUAAAUUCGAUUGCAUGUCUUAGUUACUUGUUUAAUUCAUGCUUAAUUCUCUAUCUCGGCUAUACUAACCUUCAACGAUGUGUAUUCAGUGAUCAAUUUCGAGAUGAAUCAAGUUCGGGCAGAGAGUUGAGUUUGAAGUUUUUUGAAGUUUGAAAGGUUAGAAGGUUUAAAUUCGAUUGCAUGUCAUUAGUUACUUGCUUAAUUCAAGCUUAAUCUCUUUCUCGG